GAUGAACGCUGGCGGCGUGCCUAAUACAUGCAAGUCGAGCGAACAGAUGAGGAGCUUGCUCCUCUGACGUUAGCGGCGGACGGGUGAGUAACACGUGGAUAACCUACCUAUAAGACUGGGAUAACUACGGGAAACCGGAGCUAAUACCGGAUAAUAUAUUGAACCGCAUGGUUCAAUAGUGAAAGUCGGUUUUGCUGUCACUUAUAGAUGGAUCCGCGCCGCAUUAGCUAGUUGGUAAGGUAACGGCUUACCAAGGCAACGAUGCGUAGCCGACCUGAGAGGGUGAUCGGCCACACUGGAACUGAGACACGGUCCAGACUCCUACGGGAGGCAGCAGUAGGGAAUCUUCCGCAAUGGGCGAAAGCCUGACGGAGCAACGCCGCGUGAGUGAUGAAGGUCUUCGGAUCGUAAAACUCUGUUAUUAGGGAAGAACAAAUGUGUAAGUAACUAUGCACGUCUUGACGGUACCUAAUCAGAAAGCCACGGCUAACUACGUG
rnacentral:rRNA from 1 species